AAAAGAAAUACACCACCCACACAUAGGAAGUGUGGGUGUGUCGCCUGGAACAAGGAGAAAAGAGGGGAAAACCCUCUUAUUCAACAAAUCAGUGAAAUUGGAAGGGAAAAUCAAAGUCUGAUUGUAUGCAUGAAUACCAAUCCUUGAUCACCUAAGAAUUUCCUGCAUAAGGGAUCAAGGAAGAAAGCUCGAGUCGUUCCGGGUCGCAAACAAACAACGACAAAGGUAAAGCGACUUAUUAAAUGGCGUUACUUGGAUCGAACACAUUCAUGAUGCACGCUUCCGUGAAGAAACUAGUUUUAGUCAAAACUUUUGUUAAAUGCUUUUCUUUUGUUCCAAACGGGUCUUUUGUAAGUUUUAUGAUCCGAAAGUAGUAGAUGUUGAACUUGUAGUUAAAAGACUAUGUUAGUAGUUUAUGUAAUGUUUGGGUUAAAAACUUUUGUAGUCGUUAUGUUGUUCGUUACCAAGUUAAAUGCAGAAUUUUGGUUUGUAAAUUAUUCGACCCGUUUACUUCUUUGUUAAAUGAAAGUUCGUUAGUGUC